GUUAGCACUGAACAAAGGACACUCACCAUGGACUUAGGGCUCAUAUUGGUUUUCUUUGUCCUUAUUUUAAAAGGUGUCCAGUGUGAAGUGCAGUUGUUGGAGUCUGGCGGAGGCUUAGUGCAACCAGGAAAGUCCCGGAAACUCUCCUGUGCAGCAUCUGGAUUCACCUUUAGUAAUUAUGGCAUGACUUGGGUCCGCCAGGCUCCAGGGAAGGGGCUGGAGUGGAUGGCAUACAUUAGUAGUGGUGGUGGUAGCAUCUGGUAUACCGACGCUGUGAAGGGCCGGUUCACAAUCUCCAGAGACAAUGCCAAGAAUACUCUGUACCUGGAAAUGAGCAGUCUGAGGUCUGAGGACACAGCCAUGUAUUACUGUGCAACAGACACAGUGAGUGAAUGCUACUGUGAGCUCAGACACAAAUACCUGGAACACAGGACCAGCAGGGGGCGCUGA